rnacentral:lncRNA from 1 species
CCCUGUGGUCCCACCGUGGCGGCUUAUCGAGACCGUUGUUCUUCUAUGAGAAAAGAGAUCACAGCCGUUAAUUCGAUUCAUGCCUCGGCCCGCCCGCUUGACGGGGUUGCGGAAUUUGAGAUACUACUCUUCAUCAAGCAAUCGAACAUAACCCACCAAAAUUAUUCCAUCAGGAAUACAAGUCGUGUCCACGAAGACCAAGCGUCGACUUUAAACAUGGAGAGAUUGCUUGUUCCUGUCGGGAAGUGAUAGAGGAUCCAGCCCCGACCUCUUUAUAUUCAUCGCUCCUACGCGCCACUCGGCUUCGUCUUCCUCCACAAGCCCUAAUCGAAGCCCUAAUUUUUGAACAAAUUAUCCAAGAAAAGGAGAGAUUUUUCUCAGCCCUUCCUUUUAUUAUAUUGCGAUACCAGUCGGCGAAAGAAUUCUCGUGUUCUUCCCCCCUGGUCUAUCUUAUUGGACCAAAAGUCAGAUCUGUUUGCUCCCUUGUCGAAGCCUAUAAGAUGCAGGCCGCUUGCACUCGAACUGUGGAUGUAGCUAUCCCCUUGCCUCNNN